CAGGAACUUCAUCUCAGGCAACCUCUGUCGCCAGGUCCACCUACCAACCUCCAACACUGAAACCACCUACCAAGUAAUCUCUAUCACCGGGAAACCAUUGAAUCGAAGGCACAUUCGUUCAAGCGUGGGUCCAGUCCAGCUAACGCUUGGCCUGCUGCAUAUGGAAUCCAUUAAGCUCCUAGUUCUCGAAGGCUCCACAGCAGAUAUCAUUCUGGGUCGUCCCUGGCUGAUGCAGCACAACCCAAUAAUCUCAUGGUCGUCAGGUGAAAUCUUACGGUGGGGUGACCAGUGUUUCCCUUCAUGCUUUCCCAAUUGUCCAGCUCCAUCGAAGUCACCACAUCAAACCUUACCCCUUAACACCACCUCUAUUGAAAGCCCUCCUGAGAAACGUUCCGUCAACAUUCCCUCCUGCUACAAGGAAUUCCAUGAUGUCUUCUGCCCUUACAAAGCCUCACAACUGCCUCCUCACCGCCCCUGGGACUGUGCGAUUGAUCUGAUUCCGGGUCAGCCAGUGUCUCAUAGAAAGAUCUAUCCCCUCUCCUUACCAGAACAGAAGGCCAUAGAGGAGUAUGUGGAGGAAGCUCUCAGACAAGGCUACAUUGUCCCAUCCAACUCCCCUGCUGCUUCAAGCUUUUUCUUCGUGGUGAAGAAGGACGGAGGCUUGCGGCCCUGUAUAGAUUAUCAUGCACUGAACCAGAUAACAGUAAAGUUCCGGUACCCUCUUCCUCUUGUCCCAGCUGCACUUGAACAACUUCGAGGAGCCACCAUAUUCUCCAAGUUAGACUUAUACAGUGCAUAUAAUCUCAUCCCCAUUCGCAAGGGAGAUGAAUGGAAGACAGCAUUCGUGACCCCAACUGGCCACUAUGAAUACCAGGUCAUGCCAUAUGGCCUAGUUAACACCCCCUCCAUCUUCCAGGACUUCAUGCAUUCAGUGCUCCGGGAGUAUCUCAACCGCUUUGUCAUUGUAUAUAUUGACGACAUCCUCAUUUACUCACGGAGCCCCGAAG
ensembl:lncRNA